AUGGCCGCUAGGUGGCAGUAAAGUCAUACCUGUUUCAAGCGUACAAAAAAGAGGAGCGAGUUCGAGGGGAGAUAGCGUUCCUUUCAGGCUUUCAGUUUCUACAUUCACUGUGCAUUCUCGUCAGAGUCAAUGUCUUUGGGUCUGUCUGUCUAACGUCAUUUUCAAUUUUGAUAUGUUAGAAUGGGAAACCUUGGCUACAGUAUUUUUUGCAUGAUGAAAACACUCUGGAAGGAGUUACCUGAGAACGAAAAGACUCCUUACAAAGUCAAAGCUACCCAAAUCAGUUACUAUGCCUAUUUUGAAACACUGACUCCUGCAGAGCAAAGAGACGAGCUGUUCAGUUUUGAAGGGAUUUCACUUCAAAUGUUUUGCAAUUCAAUAUGGAUUGUCAAGCCCACUUCUGCAACUUUAACAUCCCCAGAGCGUUCAAGUGAUCCGCAAUCCGAUAUAUCAAGACUCUGGAUGGAAUUAAGUGAGGAAGAGAAGACUGAAUACAACGAAGAAGCUACACAAGCGAAUUACUCUUACAAAAUGAAGUAUUCUGCUUAUCUUAACACUCUGAGUCUCUGACUCCUGAACAAAAAGAUUUCGAACUCUUUAAGCUGUAUCGAAUGGCUUCAAAAAGGCUGAAGAUGGACAGACAUUGAGACUAAACCGGCUGAAAAUGUAACAAUUAAUUGAAGUAUGUUUCACCAACUUACAAACUUCGUGAAGUGCCUAUCAAUACUAAGUUAGUGGUCGUCAAAUUGGUGUUGAACAUCCGUUCAUUCAUAAUCUAGAAAUGGGUAACCAAGAAAUUCUUUGAAGGUUUUAUGUGUUUAAUUUUUUAAAAAGAGGGGACUAGUAUAUAUGUUGAAUGUAUUUAGUCGCUCUCACAGUUUAAAUAAAAUGAUUCCGUUCAAAAAA